CAAGGAUGUCACCAACGUAUAUAGAGAUUUUAGUAAUGAAACUUGCAGUGAACGGCAAAAUGAGGGAGAAAAUAUCCGGUGUUCGGGCUAGCUUGUAACUGAAAUGUUUUGUCUGGUGAUCUCUACUCUUAUAAAAACCACAAUUGGUGAUGAUGGUGUGCCUGCCAACUUUGAUUCACAAUCGUUCGAUUCAUAUCCAACGUCCACGAAGCAACCCAUGGCAAUUUUACAAAGACACCCACUAUUCUGUUACAUAUUUGCAAAUAUGCCCUUGUCUCUCUCUUCAAGCCUAUCCCCCGGCUCUCCCCCAACCUCAUCCAACCAGUAGCACCGGCAGCGUCGGAGCCGAUAUGGCGUGGUGGCCGCCGGCGGUGCCGUCCGCCUCGGAGCCUCUCAUGCCUCCCUCAACUCCACCGGCCACCACAACCCCUCCCCCCCCCCCUUCUCCAUCUCCUCCGUUGCCGACCUCUGCAGGCACACCGGCGGCGCCGUCCCUCCGCAGGCGCCUCUCCCGCCUCCUUCUCUUCCAGAGAAGUGCCGCCGCACAGCAGCACCACCACUUCCCCCUCCUCCUUGCCAUCGCCUCCGCCCCCUCCUCCGUAUCCUCCCACGCCGGCCUCGGCAGGCACGCCGGCGGCGCCGUCCCUUCGCCGGCGCAUCUGACUACAUUGCCAGCUCAGGGCCCCCACCCAGCAUCACCACCACCUCUUCCUCCUCCUCCCCAUCCCCUCCGCCUCCUCCCCGAUGCUGAACUCCGCAAGUACGCCGGCGGCGCCGUCCGUGCCCCGAGGCUUCUUCUGGCUCCUCCCCCCUGCUGCAGAAGCCCGCUCGCCCACCCCCCGCCCCCUCUCCUCAUCGCCGUCUUCUCCGCUCUCCCCCUUCUCUAACUCUGACCUCCACAAAUACGUCGCCGGCUACAGGCUGCUGAUCCUCGGCGGCGGCGGCACCGCCACCUAAUGCUACUUCUCCCCGCCGACGCACUCCACUGCCUGUUCUGGUGCUAUGGUCGGCUACCGCCUCUCUUUCCCAGACCUCAUCGUUCCCACCCUGCCGCCUCCCAAAUUCAAAUUUUCGUCACCCAAAUGCGCGCGCCUGGUCGAACUGUCUAGAAACCACCCUUUCAGCCCAAUAUAAAUACAAGUGAGCAGGCAGAUGAGACUCACACUGCUCGAACUACAUCCCAAGAAGCAACACGGUGGUCAAGCUCUCAUAUCUUCAAAUCGACAGAUUGUGAGGAGGUCGAUUUACUGCCCAUCGCCUUCUAAUUUGCUUCGCCAAGGACCAAGGUCCAGAAGAAAUUUGAUAAGCCUAGAAGUUCCUGGAGAAACACUUGGAUUUGGGUGUGAAGCUGAAAAUUAAAAGCUAUUACACCCCAAAUGUUACAGCUCUCAUGCCAACAAAGUGCUAAAGGAAAACAAAAAGUGGUCGACAGCAGUAGCAAGCCCAACAGAACUUGCUCCAAUGGCAUGCCAUGUGCUCGAACAGGUUUAUUUAUACGUGAACCAACGGAUGCGACAAAUUUAAGUUACUCAUCUUCAGAUGAUGAAGUGACAAACCAAUCAGCGACGGUGAUUUUUCCUACUUAUACUGGUAUGCUCACAUCAAUCGACGGAUUGGAGCGAGGAGAAAGCUCAAAAGGUAAAUCUAUAGGGCGGAAGUGUUUGCUUAUAUAAUUCCGUUUACCCACUUAAUUAAUUUCUCGUGUAAAUUCUGUAGGGCGAAAGCGUGCACGUGAAGCAAUAAGAUAUGCUAGCCGUACAGCAGAGCAAAUCCAAGCAAGGCGAGAACGUGUUAGAGCACGUCGGCAAAAUUUGACACCUAAGGAGAAGGAAGAGAUUAAUGCACGAAGAAGAGAGAAACGACAACGUAUGACACUUGAAGAGAGAAAUGCAAGCCAGCGAGCACGUAGGCAAAGUUUGACACUAGAGGAGAGGCAAGAAAGAAAUGCACGCCAACGAGCGCGUCGGCAAAGCCUGCCACCGGAAGAGCGGCGGGCACUUCUAGCUCAACGUAAUGCAAGUUAUGCAUCUAGACGAGAUACCCCAUGCAUGGAUUCCAUUGUAUCAAAUUGCCCUACAGGUUCAUUGCUGGGACAUGCAUCAUCAAGCUCUUAUGCCUUUAGUUACCCAAGUACACUGACUCAAACUUUUUCUACAAUUCAAGGUAAUCUAGAAAGCAUACCUGAAGGAAUGGAAGAUGAUCACAUAGUUUUCACUAGCAAAGGUGACGCUAAUACUGUCCAGUGCAAGGAACUCACAUCGGUGCAAUGUCCAACAUCUACAUCAGUGGACAGUUCAUCAUUGGCCCCUGAUGACUCCAUAUGCCCAGGUUCCCCAACGGAAAGCUUUAAUGUGGAUGAUGAUUUUUCUCAUAUGACCGAAGAAGAAGAUGAUGAGUACUUCGCAUUUGCUGGGAGAGGGAACACUGAAGAUUGCGAUGACAUGGUAGAUGCUUUUACAACAGACAACAUUGUUCCUGACCCAUAUGACUGUGUUUACCAGAAUAUACCAAAAAGUACUCACACGCUGGUGCCAAAGCCUGAUUGCAAGCAUUGCGGCGCAAAGAGGUUCCAGUAU